AAAUGUGGUUUUUAACUUGUUUUUGUGGCAUUUCUCUGAUGAUACAGGACAUCAAUUACGCAAGUUAAGAUUAAAAUGGCAUUUCUGAGUAUUUCUUUAUUCAAAUUUUUGUGAAUAGGGAGUAGAGGAAAAAAUGCUGUUGGAAAAAGAGCGUAUUUGUGAUGUAGAAAACACGGCAUGCUGGCUAGAACCUCCUUGUUCUUAUCCGUUCUGAUGCCUCCACUUGCAGACGAAUAGAUCCAUGUAUGGCUUCGUUUUCACAGCAUCUGGCUCAAAACUGGACGGCGGAAUAGCCUCAAUAUUGCUUGCCGUUUUUAUUGCACUGCUGAUGUUAAGUUUGGCGUGUGAGGGGCUGCAAGCUAGCGGCAGGGUGUGUAUUGAUGGAUGACGGGAAGAGAGGGCAGGGUUGCCCUGUGUCAACAGUUCCGCCAACAACUCAAAAGCAACUUUCUAAAUAACUACUGCUGCUCUGCAGUAACUAGUUUUUUAUAUUUUGGCUAAAAAAAAUGGCAUAAUUAUAAUUCAAAGACCACUGGAUUUAAAAAUAGAUCAAAAAUGAUCAGAGUAGGACUUCGAAACAUCAGAAACGAGGUGCAGGUUCACGGAAAACAAUGAACAGAUGCAAACAGGAAAUUACAAAAGGCUCUUUCAGGCAACAACCAUGAACACUCAUCCUAAUGGGAUGAUUCAUAAACAAGAAACAGCUGUGGUGAUUACAAAUUACAGCCAAGUGUGAGCAACACAUAGAAAAACAAUUAAGGUCCAACAAAAGCAGGAAAAAUAUAAUCCUUUUUUAUGACAAAUACACCUUCUAUCUAUAAUAUUGUGUCAUUUGGCACACAGUCUCUUCCACACUUGGAAAUUUUGGUGUGGGUUUCUUUAAAAUAGCUGUUUUCUCUAGGUCGUUCCAGAACAUCAUUAAGGUGGACCAACCCCUUACUUUACUCUAUCCCACCCUGUCAUCCAAUUAUCAGCCUUCUUUCAUGAGAAGUGGAAGUCGCUGUCCACAGGAAAUAAAAAUUAGAAAUCGUCUCAUGCAGGUAGAAUCACCAAAUAGCUGGAAAAGGAGGUAUUUCAGCCUUUUCAAAUGAAGUCACAAACUUCUUUUUUUCUUGGGGGAAAUUUGUUGCAAUGCAGUGACUUGCUGAAGAACUGGUUGUUGGCAGAGUCUUCCUGCGGGCGGCCUGGCUUGGAGAUAAAUUGCUGGAGGACUUAUGGAGAACAAGGGGAACAGAAGCUAAAGUGACCAAGCGUGACGGAUGUGGAUGAGUCUGCAACAACUGAUAAAAUGCCAGAGGACCGCUGAAGUCCAGCUUUGGCUUUGCUCACGUCCUUCACGCACCGACGUUCAUCCAAAAUCUCUGGAUUCAUUCAAGGAUUUUCUGCACUGCAGAGAGAGAAAUAUGCAAAGGAAUUCUGAGCUCAGACUAUCCCUCUUUGUAAAUAUUUCAACGAUUUUCUUGUGCAUUUGUUGUUAAACAGAGGUUUCUCUGCCUGUGUUUGUUUCAUUUGUGACUGGUUUUUAAUCUGUGUGCAUCUUGUUGUGUGCUAUAUUCUACUAUUUUCAGUUACUGUCAUUGUAAUUUUAAAACGUAGAUUUAUCCAAUUUUUGACAGAUCAAACAAUGUCACAUUCGUUUUCAUGUCUGCACUUUAAAUCUUUCUACUUCUUUACUCAUAAAAAGUCCACAAGCUUUCCUGUUUGUUUGUUUUUUAGAUUAGGUGUCAGUUAGACCAUCAACAGUGUCAAUGUCAAAUGACUGUAAACUAGUAGGACAAUGAGCCCAAAACAAACAAAAUUGAGCUUUCAAUUUUACAUAAUCCCAAUCCAGGCAAUGCCAGAAUCAGAAAUAAAACCUAAUCUAACAGAAGUUUGGUGACCAUAGUGUUUUGCUAUUGCAAAUGCUGCCAAAUAAGUCAAUUUUAGGUUAAAUCUAGAAAUAUUUUAUUCAAGUUUUAUUCUUUAUCCAAAGAAGGCAGAAUCCUGCUCUGUGACACACUGGUAAACCUGCCCAGACCUGGCCUUCAGCAGGAUAAGCUCCAGCAACCAGAUGACAG